CAAGAGGGGACAUCCACAAGAGACUCCAGACAUCCAAAGAGUCUGGAGUCAACCAAAACUAUGUUUUCACGGAAAAACGUGGCGUUCAAACUGCAUCUUCCUCCUCCUGGCUUCUUCUCCCCUCUCUCUAAUAUUCCUAGUGCUAGCUUUUGGUCACCGUAACUUGUAAUUAGAUAUUAUUUCUGCAGCCAUGGGAACGCAAGCUCCUCCUACUCCCCCAGAAUCAUAUGAUAUCAGAAGCAAGUCCGAGAAGGAGAAGAACGUCGAUGAUUGGCUUCCGAUCACCUCAUCCCGGAAUGCCAAGUGGUGGUACUCAACAUUCCACAAUGUCACGGUCAUGGUCGGAGCCGGUGUCCUCAGCUUGCCAUCUGCUAUGUCAGAACUUGGAUGGUGAGAAGAAUAAAAGAAAAAAACAAAAAAAAUAAAGCACUAUCUUGAAAUCAUGGUGUUAAAACUUUGAUGUUUGAUUGUUAUUUUGGGGUUCUCAUGUUUUAAUUUUGUUACAUUAUUGUCUUUCCAGUGAUAUUUUGGAUAAUAGAAUGGUAUCCUCAAACCAAUACCUAUUGGCUAUUUCA